UCUUCGAAUGAGAGGCGUGGCUGCUGCCGGAAAAUAUCUCUGGCUGUAAAAAAUGACUGGAACAGCGACAAUUAUGUGGUAGUGGAGAUGGGUCUGACCCUAUCGUUCCAGCAGCUCCUCUCCAUCUUGCAUUGUAACUCUCUCAUGGAUAGGAUGUUGGACGAGCUACACUCAUAGGGGAGAACGAUUGAGGAAAUUGAGAAGUGUUUGAAAAAGGUCCCAUUGAAUCCAAGAAUCCUGGCAGCCAUUAAAGCUGCCCAUGAUUUUAGGUAGGUUUCUUUAUGGUUAUGGCUUCAUUAUUGGUUUUUUUUUUAUUUAUAUAUAUAUAAUUAAAAUAAAACUGACAAUGUGGUUAUUUCAGAUGUGAUUUAAGGAUGGUUAGCGAUGCCAAUAAGGUUUAUAUUGAGACAAUCUUGAUAGAUCCGAAGUUCAUAUUUAUACAACUAAUUUUGGAUGAA